rnacentral:rRNA from 1 species
UACGAAGGGGGCUAGCGUUGCUCGGAAUCACUGGGCGUAAAGGGUGCGUAGGCGGGUUUUUAAGUCAGGGGUGAAAUCCUGGAGCUCAACUCCGGAACUGCCUUUGAUACUGAAGAUCUUGAGUCCGGGAGAGGUGAGUGGAACUGCGAGUGUAGAGGUGAAAUUCGUAGAUAUUCGCAAGAACACCAGUGGCGAAGGCGGCUCACUGGCCCGGUACUGACGCUGAGGAGCGAAAGCGUGGGGAGCGAACAGG